rnacentral:lncRNA from 1 species
AUGCUCAUAAGGCUAGCUGCUUUCUCAAGACUUUUGUGCACAUUCACCCCUUUACUCACUGCUGAAGAGGCCAGAAAAGAAGCUCCACUGAGCAGCAUAGUAAGUGCCAGAUGUAUUGGCCAUGGUGCUAUUGGAGUCAUGUCCCUGUCCAUGACAGCAGUCAGCACAGAUGCUGCAGAAAAGGACAUGUAUCUUUCCAUCCUGCUUUACAAGCGUUGCAGACCAAGACAAGCUGCAGUUACCAGACAGUUGGCAUCCUUGGGUGCAGAUCCCAACCCCCAGCCAAAAGCUAAUUGCUCGCAGCAAGACAAACUCUCUUCCUUCUCAUCUACAGAGUGCUGGCAGAAAGCUGCAGACAAACAAACAAUCUGCUAAGCAUUUCUACCUUUGGUCCUAUGGUAAAUAAUUAAACUCCCUCCAGGUUAUACGUUUUCUUCAGUAAAUGGACAUCUGAGAAAUAGCGCAGUACACACUCCCCCAGACAAUGCCCUUUCUACAGCUUGUGCCAUUUUGCACAUCUGUAGUCAAAAGCUACCGCUUGUUCAAAUCCAGCUCCCAUCUGCUGUGGUUUCACCACAGUACUUGCUCACGGUUAACAAGAAGUAAUGCUCCCUGCCAUUUCCAUUGGCAGAUUCUCCAAGAACUUAAAAGUAACUCUUCAUUGCAGAGCAGGGCUUACCAAUCACUAUUCUGCAUAGAAAGAAAAAAAAAAAAAAAGAAAAGAAAGAAAAAACAAAGAGCAAAAUCUGCCCCCUGUAUGGGGCAGUAUAGGGUUUUAAGGAGCAUUUUGUAAUCUGUACAUAGGGAUCUUUGGAUUAGUUGCAUAAACGUGUUUUGUUUUUUUGUUAUUUUUUCUUCCCAUGGACCUUUCUAAAUUAAAGAUAUUAAGUGACUUAGAGGCCAAGCUUGAUGAUGCACCUGCUCCCUUCAAAUCUGGAGCAAUCAGUGAAAUACAGCUCUUAGCCUGGCAAUCUCUCUGAAGCUGCAGGAGAGCCACAAGGAGAACACAUGGAAGAAAU